rnacentral:rRNA from 1 species
CGGGUGAGUAACACGUGGAUAACCUACCUAUAAGACUGGGAUAACUUCGGGAAACCGGAGCUAAUACCGGAUAAUAUAUUGAACCGCAUGGUUCAAUAGUGAAAGACGGUUUUGCUGUCACUUAUAGAUGGAUCCGCGCCGCAUUAGCUAGCUGGUAAGGUAGCGGCUUACCAAGGCAACGAUGCGUAGCCGACCUGAGAGGGUGAUAGGCCACACUGGAACUGAGACACGGUCCAGACUCCUACGGGAGGCAGCAGGC